rnacentral:lncRNA from 1 species
CUGGGGAUUAGGGGCAGAAAGAGGGAAAAAGGGAGCAUCUGGAGUGACCACUGCCUCAGUGGUCCCCAAGAUCAUGGGGGAGGGGUGAGACCUGUGCAUGUUGACCCUGACCAGCUCUGGAGCCAGAGCUACUGUGCACCCAAUCAAAGUCUGACAAUGGGCAGUGGACUUUGAACUUGACUGCAGUCUCAUGUUCACGCCUGUUAGGCCCAGCCCUCUCCAGCACCCUUAUGAGGAGAGCAGAAGCUUUGUUCCUGCCCGCUUUUACCCCUGCUCUUCUUCCCUCCUCUGGCCUUGCCCUUGGAUCUUAGAGCCAAAGCCCUGAAUGCUAUUGGGCUUUGGGUCAGAACCUGGAGCAUCCAUUCUGGACCCAGCUUAGCCCAGUGGUGUGGAAGCUGCAGGCAAGAAGAACAGCUGUAACAGGGACAGUGUACCCAGAAGCGAGAUUCCUCCUUGGCCUUUGCCCUGCUCAUUGAGCUGCCUGGUGAGUAGCUGUCAGCCUCCAGACCCAGCUGAGCCUCAGCCAACUGCUUCUUACACCUUGGCGAUGGGAGACACCCUCAGGACAACCGGUCCCAGGAACAAGGGUGAUGCAGAAUCAUUGAGAGAGGAAGACGAAGGGUGCAUACCUGGCUGUACCCUCCACCGGCUGAUCCUCAAUCAAGAGGAGCCACAGAUGGGACCCUUGAAGCCUUUGUCAAAAGUGCCACUUACUUGUGAAAGUCAUGGAUUGAACAGCUUUUCUCCACCAGACCCUUCCAUCAUGCUGUUUCUGCCUCGGAGCUCCCCAACCAUGGACUGAAUCCUCUGAAACCAUGACCAGAAAUAAACUUUUCUUCCUAUAAGUUAUGGCUAUCGGGUGCUUUGUCUUACUGACAGAAAAGUGACAAACAUAAUGAUCAAGAGAAAGCAGGAAGAAAGCACUAGAACUAUUUAAUUUUUGCUUUUCUUCCUUUAAAUAUUCUACUGGAG